GACGAACGCUGGCGGCGUGCUUAACACAUGCAAGUCGAGCGAUGAAGCUCCUUCGGGAGUGGAUUGGCGGCGGACGGGUGAGUAACACGUGGGUAACCUGCCUCAUAGAGGGGAAUAGCCUUCCGAAAGGAAGAUUAAUACCGCAUAAGAUUGUAGUACCGCAUGGUACAGCAAUUAAAGGAGCAAUCCGCUAUGAGAUGGACCCGCGUCGCAUUAGCUAGUUGGUGAGGUAACGGCUCACCAAGGCGACGAUGCGUAGCCGACCUGAGAGGGUGAUCGGCCACAUUGGGACUGAGACACGGCCCAGACUCCUACGGGAGGCAGCAGUGGGGAAUAUUGCACAAUGGGGGAAAACCUGAUGCAGCAACGCCGCGUGAGUGAUGACGGUCUUCGGAUUGUAAAGCUCUGUCUUUAGGGACGAUAAUGACGGUACCUAAGGAGGAAGCCACGGCUAACUACGUGCCAGCCGCCGCCGUAACAC
rnacentral:rRNA from 1 species